rnacentral:rRNA from 1 species
UACGGGGGGGGCAAGCGUUGUUCGGAAUUCCUGGGCGUAAAGAGCGCGCAGGCGGUUUGGUAAGUCGGAUGUGAAAUCCCGGGGCUCAACCCCGGACCUGCAUCCGAUACUGCCCGACUAGAGGUAGGUAGGGGAGAUCGGAAUUCCUGGUGUAGCGGUGAAAUGCGCAGAUAUCAGGAGGAACACCGGUGGCGAAGGCGGAUCUCUGGGCCUUACCUGACGCUCAGGCGCGAAAGCUAGGGGAGCGAACAGG